AUAUCACUAAGCGGAGGAAAAGAAAUUAACUAAGAUUGCCCCAGUAACGGCGAGUGAAGCGGCAAAAGCCCAAAGUGGAAAUCUUCGCUUUUCAAGCGACGAAUUGUAAUCUAUAGUUUGGUAGCUCACCUAGCGGUGGCGCAGAAGUGACUUAGAACGGUCCGCCAGAGAGGGUGACAGCCCCGUAUGUGGUGCCACUGCUUAACGAGCUCCAAUCCAAGAGUCGGGUUGUUUUGAAUUGCAGCCCUAAUCUAGGAGAUAGACUUCACCUAAGGCUAAAUAUUACUGUGAGACCGAUAGCGAACAAGUA
rnacentral:rRNA from 1 species